rnacentral:other from 2 species
UGUGCCCUACGGUACGCGUGAACACGGGAAAUAUUUCCCUCCACAAAUUCACGAUCUUUAGGGAGGGCUAUUUGUUCAAAUCCUGUGGGGUUUGAGCCAGCCCACCCACCUGGUAUCAUCCGGGGGAUAUAUUCCUGCGAACCGCCCUCCGUGGGGCAUUU